rnacentral:lncRNA from 1 species
CUGGUUCGGCCUAGAUCGUCCUAGAUCAAGCUUUAAAGUUUGGAUCAAUCUGGUGCGUCUGAUCAGAUUCCAGAUUGAAUCAGGGACGUCGAAAUCUUCAACUCGUGAUCUUUCACUCCACACUCAAAAUCGUCGUGCAAGGCUUAUAUGGGGAUGAUCAGGGGGAAGAGUAGAUCACAAAACUGGGAAGGAUCGGCCCGUGCAACGCCGGCACGACCAAGAUCCGAUCGGGUCAAAUUCUAGGCUCAGAGGUGCUUCGAUCCAGCUAGUGGUGCGGCUGCUGUGCAAGGCGAGGCCGGGGAGUAGCUGGGCGUGCGGCGGCGAGUUCGGCAAGUGUCGGGUCCGAGGUGGUGGCGGCCGGGAAGGGAUGUUUCCGGCCGGGUCAGGUCGGCGGUUCGACGAAGGUGGAGAGGGGGUUUCGUGCGAGAGAGAGAGCGG